AGCAGCCGCGGUAAUUCCAGCUCCAAUAGCGUAUAUUAAAGUUGUUGCAGUUAAAAGCUCGUAGUUGAAUUUCGGGAUCAAUAUAUCGGUCGUGCCUUUGGUACGUACUGGUAUCAUUGAUUUCUCCUUUCUGACGAAUCAUGAUGUCAUUAAUUUGGUGUUAUGAGGAGUUAGGACUGUUACUUUGAAAAAAUUGAGUGUUUAAAGCAGGCAUUAGCUUGAAUACAUUAGCAUGGAAUAAUGAAAUAGGACGUUUGACCCUAUUUUGUUGGUUUUUAGGAUCGACGUAAUGAUUAAUAGGGAUAGUUGGGGGCAUUAGUAUUCAAUUGUCAGAGGUGAAAUUCUUGGAUUUAUUGAAGACUAACUACUGCGAAAGCAUUUGCCAAGGAUGUUUUCAUUAAUCAAGAACGAAAGUUAGGGAUCGAAGACGAUCAGAUACCGUCGUAGUCUUAACCAUAAACUAUGCCGACUAGGGAUCGGGAUGAUGUUAAUUUUAUAAUUGACUCAUUCGGCUACCG
rnacentral:rRNA from 1 species